rnacentral:tRNA from 1 species
GAUGAUAUACUAAAGACAUUUUUUUUUGGGGGGGGUUUCGAACCCCAUUAGUCCGUGGGAGAAAAAACUCCCUUCUUAUCU